rnacentral:rRNA from 1 species
GUGGGGAAUCUUCCGCAAUGGACGAAAGUCUGACGGAGCGACGCCGCGUGAGUGAUGAAGGCCCUUGGGUCGUAAAGCUCUGUCAUCAGGGACGAACGGUCACGUCAGGAAAUGGGCGUGAAUUGACGGUACCUGAGAAGGAAGCCACGGCUAACUACGUGCCAGCAGCCGCGGUAAUACGUAGGUGGCGAGCGUUGUCCGGAAUUAUUGGGCGUAAAGCGCGCGCAGGUGGGAUCUUAAGUCGGUUCUGAAAGUUCGGAGCUUAACUCCGUGAUGGGAUGGAAACUGGGAUUCUUGAGUAUCGGAGAGGAAAGCGGAAUUCCCCGUGUAGCGGUGAAAUGCGUAGAUAUGGGGAGGAACACCAGUGGCGAAGGCGGCUUUCUGGACGAUGUCUGACACUGAGGCGCGAAAGCCAGGGGAGCGAACGGGAUUAGAUACCCCUGUAGUCC